AGAUUAAGUUAUUAAGGGCGCACGGUGGAUGCCUUGGCACUAGAAGCCGAUGAAGGACGUUACUAACGACGAUAUGCUUUGGGGAGCUGUAAGUAAGCUUUGAUCCAGAGAUUUCCGAAUGGGGAAACCCAGCAUGAGUUAUGUCAUGUUAUCGAUGUGUGAAUACAUAGCAUAUUAGAAGGCACACCCGGAGAACUGAAACAUCUUAGUACCCGGAGGAAGAGAAAGAAAAUUCGAUUCCCUUAGUAGCGGCGAGCGAAACGGGAAGAGCCCAAACCAACAAGCUUGCUUGUUGGGGUUGUAGGACACUCUAUACGGAGUUACAAAGGACGACAUUAGACGAAUCAUCUGGAAAGAUGAAUCAAAGAAGGUAAUAAUCCUGUAGUCGAAAAUGUUGUCUCUCUUGAGUGGAUCCUGAGUACGACGGAGCACGUGAAAUUCCGUCGGAAUCUGGGAGGACCAUCUCCUAAGGCUAAAUACUCUCUAGUGACCGAUAGUGAACCAGUACCGUGAGGGAAAGGUGAAAAGCACCCCGGAAGGGGAGUGAAAUAGAACCUGAAACCGUGUGCUUACAAGUAGUCAGAGCCCGUUAAUGGGUGAUGGCGUGCCUUUUGUAGAAUGAACCGGCGAGUUACGAUUUGAUGCAAGGUUAAGCAGUAAAUGUGGAGCCGUAGCGAAAGCGAGUCUGAAUAGGGCGUUUAGUAUUUGGUCGUAGACCCGAAACCAGGUGAUCUACCCUUGGUCAGGUUGAAGUUCAGGUAACACUGAAUGGAGGACCGAACCGACUUACGUUGAAAAGUGAGCGGAUGAACUGAGGGUAGCGGAGAAAUUCCAAUCGAACCUGGAGAUAGCUGGUUCUCUCCGAAAUAGCUUUAGGGCUAGCCUCAAGUGAUGAUUAUUGGAGGUAGAGCACUGUUUGGACGAGGGGCCCCUCUCGGGUUACCGAAUUCAGACAAACUCCGAAUGCCAAUUAAUUUAACUUGGGAGUCAGAACAUGGGUGAUAAGGUCCGUGUUCGAAAGGGAAACAGCCCAGACCACCAGCUAAGGUCCCAAAAUAUAUGUUAAGUGGAAAAGGAUGUGGCGUUGCCCAGACAACUAGGAUGUUGGCUUAGAAGCAGCCAUCAUUUAAAGAGUGCGUAAUAGCUCACUAGUCGAGUGACACUGCGCCGAAAAUGUACCGGGGCUAAACAUAUUACCGAAGCUGUGGAUUGUCCUUUGGACAAUGGUAGGAGAGCGUUCUAAGGGCGUUGAAGCAUGAUCGUAAGGACAUGUGGAGCGCUUAGAAGUGAGAAUGCCGGUGUGAGUAGCGAAAGACGGGUGAGAAUCCCGUCCACCGAUUGACUAAGGUUUCCAGAGGAAGGCUCGUCCGCUCUGGGUUAGUCGGGUCCUAAGCUGAGGCCGACAGGCGUAGGCGAUGGAUAACAGGUUGAUAUUCCUGUACCACCUAUAAUCGUUUUAAUCGAUGGGGGGACGCAGUAGGAUAGGCGAAGCGUGCGAUUGGAUUGCACGUCUAAGCAGUAAGGCUGAGUAUUAGGCAAAUCCGGUACUCGUUAAGGCUGAGCUGUGAUGGGGAGAAGACAUUGAGUCUUCGAGUCGUUGAUUUCACACUGCCGAGAAAAGCCUCUAGAUAGAAAAUAGGUGCCCGUACCGCAAACCGACACAGGUAGUCAAGAUGAGAAUUCUAAGGUGAGCGAGCGAACUCUCGUUAAGGAACUCGGCAAAAUGACCCCGUAACUUCGGGAGAAGGGGUGCUCUUUAGGGUUAACGCCCAGAAGAGCCGCAGUGAAUAGGCCCAAGCGACUGUUUAUCAAAAACACAGGUCUCUGCUAAACCGUAAGGUGAUGUAUAGGGGCUGACGCCUGCCCGGUGCUGGAAGGUUAAGAGGAGUGGUUAGCUUCUGCGAAGCUACGAAUCGAAGCCCCAGUAAACGGCGGCCGUAACUAUAACGGUCCUAAGGUAGCGAAAUUCCUUGUCGGGUAAGUUCCGACCCGCACGAAAGGCGUAACGAUUUGGGCACUGUCUCAACGAGAGACUCGGUGAAAUCAUAGUACCUGUGAAGAUGCAGGUUACCCGCGACAGGACGGAAAGACCCCGUGGAGCUUUACUGUAGCCUGAUAUUGAAAUUCGGCACAGCUUGUACAGGAUAGGUAGGAGCCUUUGAAACGUGAGCGCUAGCUUACGUGGAGGCGCUGGUGGGAUACUACCCUAGCUGUGUUGGCUUUCUAACCCGCACCACUUAUCGUGGUGGGAGACAGUGUCAGGCGGGCAGUUUGACUGGGGCGGUCGCCUCCUAAAAGGUAACGGAGGCGCUCAAAGGUUCCCUCAGAAUGGUUGGAAAUCAUUCAUAGAGUGUAAAGGCAUAAGGGAGCUUGACUGCGAGACCUACAAGUCGAGCAGGGUCGAAAGACGGACUUAGUGAUCCGGUGGUUCCGCAUGGAAGGGCCAUCGCUCAACGGAUAAAAGCUACCCCGGGGAUAACAGGCUUAUCUCCCCCAAGAGUUCACAUCGACGGGGAGGUUUGGCACCUCGAUGUCGGCUCAUCGCAUCCUGGGGCUGUAGUCGGUCCCAAGGGUUGGGCUGUUCGCCCAUUAAAGCGGUACGCGAGCUGGGUUCAGAACGUCGUGAGACAGUUCGGUCCCUAUCCGUCGUGGGCGUAGGAAAUUUGAGAGGAGCUGUCCUUAGUACGAGAGGACCGGGAUGGACAUACCUCUGGUGUACCAGUUGUCGUGCCAACGGCAUAGCUGGGUAGCUAUGUGUGGACGGGAUAAGUGCUGAAAGCAUCUAAGCAUGAAGCCCCCCUCAAGAUGAGAUUUCCCAACUUCGGUUAUAAGAUCCCUCAAAGAUGAUGAGGUUAAUAGGUUCGAGGUGGAAGCAUGGUGACAUGUGGAGCUGACGAAUACUAAUCGAUCGAAGACUUAAUCAAA
rnacentral:rRNA from 1 species